rnacentral:lncRNA from 1 species
CUCUUUUCUCUUCCACUAUCUGCAAGCAGAGAAGUCUGAGGUCCCAGGGACUGGCAAAGCCACAGGAUGAAAGGAACUUGAGGCUCUCCUUCACUACCUGCAGGAAAAGCACCUGUCGCAACAAGGAGCCCUUGCACUGAAUGGUUGCAUAAGUAACUACCCACCUUCUAUUGCAUGCCUGGCACAUGCUAACCAAGCUUUACCUCUGAGGAGCUCACAGACCAACAUUCCUCUGGAGGAGGGAGCAGGUUUUGAUGAAACACACCCACCAAGAAAAAUGCUGUGACAGGUUGUGAGGUUGGAAGUUGAAACAGAAGCAUCAAGUUCUAAUAGAUCCUGCCCUGUUAAGUGAAGUCCCCGGAACAAGAUGCCGUUUCAAGGGAAACGGAUCUGGGCUUUUAAAACUCUCUACUCACGAUGAGAAUAUAAAAAGAUGGGUCCGGGAGAACAAAGGGAGAGAUUUUGGGGGAUGAUUCCUUGGGAAGAAGUGUACCCAGCCCUUUUGCUAGCAUGUUGGGGGGGCAUGAAGAGAUCCCUCCUCCACCUCAUCCAAGUUGCUGUAAAAGACAUGAUUUCAUUCUUUUUUAUGGCUGAGUAGUAUUCCAUGGUAUCUGUAUACCACAUUUUCUUUAUCCACUCGUCGGUUGAUGGGCACUUAGAUUGGUUCCACGUCUUUGCAAUUGCCCCCACCUCAAAUUUAGU